ACCGCCGUAUACGGAACCGUACGUACGGUGGUGUGAGAGGGGCGAAAAGUUAUUUAGCUUUUCCCUCUACUCGAU
rnacentral:misc_RNA from 1 species